rnacentral:rRNA from 1 species
UGGGGAAUUUUGGACAAUGGGCGAAAGCCUGAUCCAGCAAUGCCGCGUGUGUGAAGAAGGCCUUCGGGUUGUAAAGCACUUUUGUCCGGAAAGAAAUCCUUGGCUCUAAUACAGUCGGGGGAUGACGGUACCGGAAGAAUAAGCACCGGCUAACUACGUGCCAGCAGCCGCGGUAAUACGUAGGGUGCAAGCGUUAAUCGGAAUUACUGGGCGUAAAGCGUGCGCAGGCGGUUUGCUAAGACCGAUGUGAAAUCCCCGGGCUCAACCUGGGAACUGCAUUGGUGACUGGCAGGCUAGAGUAUGGCAGAGGGGGGUAGAAUUCCACGUGUAGCAGUGAAAUGCGUAGAGAUGUGGAGGAAUACCGAUGGCGAAGGCAGCCCCCUGGGCCAAUACUGACGCUCAUGCACGAAAGCGUGGGGAGCAAACAGGAUUAGAUACCCUGGUAGUCCACGCCCUAAACGAUGUCAACUAGUUGUUGGGGGACUUCAUUUUCCUUAGUAACGUAGCUAACGCGUGAAGUUGACCGCCUGGGGAGUACGGUCGCAAGAUUAAAACUCAAAUGAAUUGA